UGGAACAUUACUUGUACUUACUCUCAAUUCUUGGCUCAAAAGACACCAACUUGUUGUGUUUCUCUCUCAUCCUUCUAUAAUGACACGGUAGUAAACUGCCCAACCUGCACAUGUGGCUGCCAAAACAAAACACAACCUGACAGUUGUGUAAAGUAAGUCUCCAAUUUAUCAUUUUCAUUCAUCUUGUUCCAGAAGACUGUUUGAGAGAGCUUAUGAAAAUAGCUUAUGACAUGUUCACAAAGCUAUUUUCAGCUUAUUUUAUAAACUCUCCAGGAUAGCUCAUAAAAGCAGCUUAUAGCUUAUAUGAAAACAAUUUGAUUUGAUUUUUUCUUUUGUUAUAAAAUAGUUUUUACACAAACACCUACUAUAUGAUAACCGCUUAAUUAAGUUGUUUAUUGAAACGGAGCCUGGUACUUAAAAAGAACGUUUCAUAGUGGAUUUUGUCAUCAUUUUACCAACUCAUGAUUUAUUUUUGCUGAAUUUGUGUUGCAGUCCAGACUCUCCACAUUUAUCUUCAAUAGUAUCAUCAUCAGGAAAACCUGCAAAUACACCUCUAGUACAAUGUACAAGUCACAUGUGUCCGAUACGAGUGCAUUGGCACGUGAAGCUCAAUUAUAAAGAGUAUUGGAGGAUCAAGAUCACAAUCACAAAUUUCAAUUAUAGAAUGAAUUACUCACAAUGGAAUCUUGUGGUGCAGCAUCCCAAUUUUGAUAAUCUUACUCAGCUUUUCAGCUUUAAGUACAAGUCACUAAAUCCCUAUGAGGGCUUAA
rnacentral:lncRNA from 1 species